rnacentral:rRNA from 1 species
UAAUACGUAGGGUGCAAGCGUUAAUCGGAAUUAUUGGGCGUAAAGGGUGCGCAGGCGGUGUUGUAAGUCAGAUGUGAAAUCCCCGGGCUUAACCUGGGAAUUGCGUUUGAAACUGCAGCGCUAGAGUGUGAUAGAGGAGAGUGGAAUUCCAUGUGUAGCAGUGAAAUGCGUAGAGAUGUGGAAGAACACCAAUGGCGAAGGCAGCUCUCUGGAUUAACACUGACGCUCAUGCACGAAAGCGUGGGGAGCAAACAGGAUUAGAUACCCUGGUAGUCC